UUCCUAUAUUUAUAUAUAUUUAUAUAAAUUUUUUAAAUUAAUUUAUAUUUCUUAUCACUGAUUACCUAGUUACUUGAUAUGAAAAAAGAGUUACAUCUAUUAUAUCCAUGAAAUAUGUACUGUUUUUAUUUUGAUCUUAUUGUUUUCUUUCUUAUAUCCUUGAGAAGUAGGAAAUAGUAAAUAAACAAUACAAAGAAAAAAAAUUUAUUUAUCCAUAGCACAUCGAAAUAUAAUAUUAACAUCUUACUUGAAGUAAAAGUAUAUAUGAAUACUAAUUUCUAUUUUUUCAAAUAUUUGUUACACUAAUUUUAAAUAGUAUCUUUUAAAUACAUUUUUAAAUAAAAUAUAUAUCUGUUACUAUUUUCUAUUUCAACCAACUCUUUUUCCCGACAAUGACAUUGACCGUCUGUGUGCACGCAUUCCACGCUCAAUAUCAGGCACGCCUUCUGUAAGUGGCGCGAUCACCGCGCAUCGCGCAUAGUCUGGCGCUAGCUUCACGUAGUACCUGCGUAUUUGAAUUGGCGGCAUUCUGGUUGCUGUUCGCGGCGCGGCGGAGAGAAUGGACGAGAUUGCGUCUGCCCCCCCUAUUUGAUUCGCGCGAGUCGGAGUCUGGCAAUGGAACAAAAAUAAUCUCUUACAACGGAAGGUAAUCAAGUCGAUAAUGUUUAUGAUCGAGAGCGCGUCUCGGUGCGUAAAAAGAUUGAAAUUUCGAUUGUUCGUCAGACACCUUGUCGGCACUGAAGCGCGACUUUGUAGCGGCGAUGGCUACAUUUUGCUGGCGUUAUUAUUACGUUAUACAUAUUAUAUUACAGUCGUUAUUAGUGGAUUUAUUACUUAUCAUAUUACCUGGAGAGAAAGGAGGCGGUAGGCGCGCCGUAAAUGAAAUAUGAAUUCAUAAAAAAGUGAAGGGGAUCAAAAUAUGUCAUACGUUGUUUUUUAAUGCAGGUUCAAAUGCGGAAAAUAUUGGCGCGUGUGACGAAUAUUUUACACUUAAGUAACGUUGUUACUGUAAAUAGAUAAUGAUAUAGCAUUUUCGUGAUGUGCAGGAUACGGUCUGAGAUGUCGGGACGGAGACUGAAAUCACGGAAGGAGACGACAAGAUGGCGUCGAGACGUUCGCUAUUAACGACGCGGGAUUUCGAUAAAUAUUAUAUGUUCUACAACUUCGCGCAUCAUUAAAUGAAUGCAACCUGAGAAGAAGUCAUGAAGGAACUGAGCAGUUGGCAGUUUGAAAGGAACAGAAGGACUAAGGUAGGCAUCAGGCGACGCGACGGAGCGAUUAUGGGAUACGUGGAUCCAGACAUGAGACCUUUCGACUUUUCCAAAUAUUUCAAAGUGUUCCUAAGGGAGCCGCCGAUGCAGC